rfam:Eutrema salsugineum unplaced genomic scaffold scaffold_26, whole genome shotgun sequence.
AACCCAUGAUGUGGACACUGGUUGGUGUAACUCCUUAACCUCUCCCAAGCUUUCCCAAAGCUUUCACUGUUGUGCUGGGUAAAGCUUGAUAUCUGGUUCCUCAGCUU